GCCAGGCAUGGUGGUGCGUGCCUGUAGUCCCAGCUAUUCAGGAGGCUGAGGCUGGAGGAUCUCUUGAGUCCAGGAGUUCUGGGCUGUAGUGAGCUAUGCCGAUCGGGUGUCCGCACUAAGUUCGGCAUGAAUAUGGUGACCUCCCGGGAGUGGGGGACCACCACCAGGUUGCCUAAGGAGGGGUGAACCGGCCCAGGUCGGAAAGGGAGCAGGUCAAAACUCCUGUGCCGAUCAGUAGUGGGAUCGCGCCUGUGAAUAGCUACCGCACUCCAGCCUGGGCAACAUAGUGAGACCCUGUCUCU
rnacentral:SRP_RNA from 1 species